rnacentral:snoRNA from 1 species
GCUGCCCCUCCAGGCACUGCAGGCACGGCUGCUGUGUGGUGCUUCUGUCAUGAGGAGGCAGAGAGGAACUGGCUGUGCCUGACGUGUGGGCACUUAGAAUGAUUGGCAGCCUAACAGG